rnacentral:rRNA from 1 species
GAGAGAAGCUUGCUUCUCUUGAGAGCGGCGGACGGGUGAGUAAUGCCUAGGAAUCUGCCUGGUAGUGGGGGAUAACGUUCGGAAACGAACGCUAAUACCGCAUACGUCCUACGGGAGAAAGCAGGGGACCUUCGGGCCUUGCGCUAUCAGAUGAGCCUAGGUCGGAUUAGCUAGUUGGUGAGGUAAUGGCUCACCAAGGCGACGAUCCGUAACUGGUCUGAGAGGAUGAUCAGUCACACUGGAACUGAGACACGGUCCAGACUCCUACGGGAGGCAGCAGUGGGGAAUAUUGGACAAUGGGCGAAAGCCUGAUCCAGCCAUGCCGCGUGUGUGAAGAAGGUCUUCGGAUUGUAAAGCACUUUAAGUUGGGAGGAAGGGCAGUUACCUAAUACGUGAUUGUUUUGACGUUACCGACAGAAUAAGCACCGGCUAACUCUGUGCCAGCAGCCGCGGUAAUACAGAGGGUGCAAGCGUUAAUCGGAAUUACUGGGCGUAAAGCGCGCGUAGGUGGUUUGUUAAGUUGGAUGUGAAAUCCCCGGGCUCAACCUGGGAACUGCAUUCAAAACUGACUGACUAGAGUAUGGUAGAGGGUGGUGGAAUUUCCUGUGUAGCGGUGAAAUGCGUAGAUAUAGGAAGGAACACCAGUGGCGAAAGGCGACCACCUGGACUAAUUACUGACACUGAGGUGCGAAAGCGUGGGGAGCAAAACAGGAAUAGAUAC